rnacentral:misc_RNA from 1 species
GAUGAAGAACGUAGCGAAAUGCGAUAAGUAAUGUGAAUUGCAGAAUUCAGUGAAUCAUCGAAUCUUUGAACGCACAUUGCGCCCGCUAGUAUUCUGGCGGGCAUGCCUGUUCGAGCGUCAUUUCAACCAUCAAGCCCUGUUUAGGCUUGUGUUGGGGCCCUGCGGUUGCCGCAGCCCCCUAAAUGCAGUGGCGGGCUCGUUGUCACUCCGAGCGCAGUAGCGUAUCUCGCUCUGGGCGUGGCGGCGGGUGCUAGCCGUGAAACACCACUAAGGUUGACCUCGGAUCAGGUAGGAAUACCCGCUGAACUUAAGCAUAUCAAUAAGCGGAGGA